GAUGAACGCUGGCGGCGUGCUUAACACAUGCAAGUCGAACGGAAAGGCCCAAGCUUGCUUGGGUACUCGAGUGGCGAACGGGUGAGUAACACGUGGGUGAUCUGCCCUGCACUUCGGGAUAAGCCUGGGAAACUGGGUCUAAUACCGGAUAGGACCACCUCUUGGAUGUUGUUGUGGAAAGUUUUUUCGGUGUGGGAUGAGCUCGCGGCCUAUCAGCUUGUUGGUGGAGUAAUGGCCUACCAAGGCGUCGACUGGUAGCCGGCCUGAGAGGGUGUACGGACACAUUGAGACUGAGAUACGGCCCAGACUCCUACGGGAGGCAGCAGUGGGGAAUAUUGCACAAUGGGAGCAAGCCUGAUGCAGCGACGCCGCGUGGGGGAUGACGGCCUUCGGGUUGUAAACUCCUUUCGCUAGGGACGAAGCGUUUUGUGACGGUACCUGGAGAAGAAGCAUCGGCUAACUACGUG
rnacentral:rRNA from 1 species